AGUUAUGUCUAGAGGAGAAUGAGAAAGAUUAACUAAUGUAUUUACCUAUCAAUGUUUUUGAGCAUCUCAGAAAAUACUUUCGUUCUUUUAAAUACUUCAUAUCAGGACUCAAAGUUGGCCAUAAAUCAUAACCUUUUAGUAUAAAACUGGUGUUUGCAAAAAAAGCAUCUAUUGGUUAUGGGGGUGUUUGCUAUAGCCUAUAGCUUAAAAUUCUAUAUUUCAGUCAAGUAAACCUAGUAAUGUGUCUUGAUUCAGUUUAAACUGAUUUAUUGCAUUUUUAAACAGGCCUUUGCUAUGGGAAGUUG
rnacentral:misc_RNA from 1 species